GGAGAAGUCGUACAAGGUUUCCGUAGGUGAACCUGCGGAAGGAUCAUUC
rnacentral:rRNA from 1 species